rnacentral:rRNA from 1 species
AUUGAACGCUGGCGGCAGGCCUAAUACAUGCAAGUCGAACGAGUGGCGGACGGGUGAGUAAUGUCUGGGAAACUGCUUGAUGGAGGGGGAUAACUACUGGAAACGGUAGCUAAUACCGCAUAUCAUAAGAUGUGCCCAGAUGGGAUUAGCUGUUUGGUGGGUUAACGGCUGACCAAGGCCACGAUCCCUAGAUGGUCUGAGAGGAUUACCGGCCACACUGGAACUGAGACACGGUCCAGACUCCUACGUGAGGCAGCAGUGGGGAAUAUUGCACAAUGGGCGAAAGCCUGAUGCAGCCAUGCCGCGUGUAUGAAGAAGGCCUUCGGGUUGUAAAGUACUUUCAUCGGGGAGGCGUUACCCGCACAAGAAGCACCGGCUAACUCCGUGCCAGCAGCCGCGGUAAUUC